AAUAUUGGACAAUGGGCGAAAGCCUGAUCCAGCCAUGCCGCGUGUGUGAAGAAGGUCUUCGGAUUGUAAAGCACUUUACGUUGGGAGGAAGGGUUGUAGGUUAAUACCCUGCAAUUUUGACGUUACCAACAGAAUAAGCACCGGCUAACUUCGUGCCAGCAGCCGCGGUAAUACGAAGGGUGCAAGCGUUAAUCGGAAUUACUGGGCGUAAAGCGCGCGUAGGUGGUUCGUUAAGUUGGAAGUGAAAGCCCCGGGCUUAACCUGGGAAUUGCUUUCAAAACUGACGAGCUAGAGUACGGUAGAGGGUAGUGGAAUUUCCUGUGUAGCGGUGAAAUGCGUAGAUAUCGGGAGGAACACCAGUGGCGAAGGCGGUUUACUGGACAACAACUGACGCUGAUUCACGAAAGCGUGGGGAGCAAACAGG
rnacentral:rRNA from 1 species